GAUGAACGCUGGCGGCGUGCCUAAUACAUGCAAGUCGAGCGAACGGACGAGAAGCUUGCUUCUCUGAUGUUAGCGGCGGACGGGUGAGUAACACGUGGAUAACCUACCUAUAAGACUGGGAUAACUUCGGGAAACCGUAGCUAAUACCGGAUAAUAUUUUGAACCGCAUGGUUCAAAAGUGAAAGACGGUCUUGCUGUCACUUAUAGAUGGAUCCGCGCUGCAUUAGCUAGUUGGUAAGGUAACGGCUUACCAAGGCAACGAUGCAUAGCCGACCUGAGAGGGUGAUCGGCCACACUGGAACUGAGACACGGUCCAGACUCCUACGGGAGGCAGCAGUAGGGAAUCUUCCACAAUGGGCGAAAGCCUGACGGAGCAACGCCGCGUGAGUGAUGAAGGUCUUCGGAUCGUAAAACUCUGUUAUUAGGGAAGAACAUAUGUGUAAGUAACUGUGCACAUCUUGACGGUACCUAAUCAGAAAGCCACGGCUAACUACGUG
rnacentral:rRNA from 1 species